CUGUGGCACCCUGCUUGAUGCUUCAGCUCAUUCUCCAAAUUCCCUGAAUGCCUGAGAGGGAUGCUACACUGAAAGAACUCUGGGAAAUGUAAAUGGCAUCCAGAUAAACAUGGCAGCUGUUUAGAGAACUAGGCCAAAAGAUAACCAGUGACCCAGUUCCUUUUAUGAUGGGCCCAGCAAAGAUGAGAUAGGGUGGCUGCAACUGUCUGGGAAUGUAGAGUUGUCCUAUUCCUGUCUAACUGUUUGUGUACUACCUAAAUACUUUCUUCUAACCAAUCUGAGAUGCAGACACCAUAGCUAGGAAAACAGAUUGCACAUCACAUGCUGAGGGAAGACGACACUUGGAAACUUUCAGACACAGCAAGAAAAAGUGAAGCCUUUUCACUGAGCUUUAUUUCUUGAGUCUGUUUCAAAAUCUUGUCAGACGCCCAAGUGUUUGUUUUCAUGCUCCAGAUUCUCAGGUAUCCAUAUAAUGGAUCUUGAAAAAUUUUGCAGUUCAUGCUGUUUUCUUCCCACACCGGAGUAUCCCAUGGAAGUGAGAAACCUGGAUCAACUUUCUUGCGAUCUGAAUUUGCAUAUUUGAAACUGUCCUCUCUGCAAACCAUCUAUCCUGUAUAUGCUAUAACAUUGAAGACUUAACUUUAUUAAGAAAUACAGCUGCCCUCCACCUGCAAAAUGAAAAGGCCUGAAAUUAUGGAAGAUAAUUUACCUUCUCGAAGUUGACUGCUCCUGAUGGUUAUGGAAAUUGCUAAGUAAAAUGCAAUUUAAAAUGAAAGCCAAAUUUGGAACAAUACAUCAUUAUGUAUGUAAACAUAUGUACAACAUUCGUAAUAAAUGUCCUCUGCAACUAAUGUAUAAAACACUUUUUUAAAAUUAAAGACAUGUUUGAAUUUUUGCACCGUAAAGAAAAGCAGGGAGACCCAUGUGCAGAAAGGGAGUCUUGUAAAAUAUCUAUAUAUCUCAAAUGGAAUAAAUUAUCAGCUCUCUUUAGAGUUUGCUCUGAAUUGGGGCCAAUGCAGCUGCGAUUUUCACUGCUGUUUGAUCUGCCCUUUCAAGUUCUGAUGAUCCUUCCAAAUUGCUUUUAAUGGACAGAAGCCAACAAAAGAAGGGGAGCUUGCUGUCAUAAAACCGGAUGUGUAAUUUGUUCAACAUUUAUACCUGUGCUUUGUAGUUCCCGAAAGCUGCUGCGCUGAAAACUUGUGGAAGGAAGAAAGAUGGAAACAAAAAGACACUACCUGGACUGGUUUCAGGAACUACAGCAAAAUUUGUUGCAUAUUCUGAUGUCCAGGAGCCAUGAUGGCGCAGUGGUUAGAAUGCAGUAUUGCAAGCUAACUCUACUGACUGCCAGCAGUUUGAUCCUAACCGGCUCAAGGUUGACUCAGCCUUCCAUCCUUCUGAGGGUUCCUGCAAAGCUUUGAUUGUCCUACUGUCUUCCACAUCAAAUACACUGCAGAGCAUUUUGAUGAGCGGAGAAGUCAGGCUAGAAACGUUCUCUAAAGCAGGCCAAAGUUUUCGGAGAUAAUUGCCUGUAUUAAAAAAAAUGCUUGACGUGACUUUAGUAAGCUACGAAGACACUGCCUUGGAUUGCUGCACGUUGGGAGCAAUCUGGAGCCUUUGCAAAUGGCCUUGCAGAUGUUGGUCUUUGACAUUAAAGGGACAGCCCUUCCUUUUAUCCCAAUUUCUUUGAAAAGUGCGCCUGUCAUAUGGGAAUCCUUCAAACCUGAUCCACAGGCCACUGAAGCUAAUUAUGAUGUUUCUGUUAGUUUAAACAGGCCCGAAAUUACUCCUUAGUGUUACAGCAGUUCCAAGUGCUACUGUUUACUUUCUUGAAAUAGGUCUCAGGGGACCCUAAUUAGGCAGCAUUUGCAUAUUGCUUUCGUCAUGACAAAUGCGCUGCCAGUGCAGAUCUUUCUUUACAGGGGAAAAAAAUGGAUAAUGAUCAUAAUUUAUAGCACAUCCCUUUAUAUGCAAAUAUAGGUUACUUACAUACUUACUUUCAUCUUUGUUGUGAUGUUUGCUAAUUUUGCAGUGACCUGUCACAUUGCACGGAAAACUCGUAACAGGGAGAAACAAGCAUAUAACAGGGCAUAAUAUUUUCUGGCUUUAAUUUGAAAGGUAGGAGGUUGAUCAGAGAAAUGGAAAUCUCUAAUAUAAAAUUGGUUUUCAAUGACAAAACUAGUUCUGCCUUUUGCUUUUAUAGAUUUUAACAUGUAUCAAACCAAACUGAAGCAAGCUGAACCAUUUUAUAUAAUGCCCAACGUGAAAAGAAAUACUGCUAGGAAAAAGAUUUAUACAGUUUCCCCCAAAAUAAGACAUCCCCUGAUAAUAAGCCCAAUCGGGCUUUUGAGUGCAUGGCAAUAAGGCUAAGCGCUUAUUUCAGGGUUCAAAAAAAUAUAAGACAGGGUCUUAUUUUCAGAGAAACACAAUAAGUCUUGCGGAUCCCCAUAACACUAACCUAAUUCCAGCUUUCGUUGCAGAGCUGCUCCAUGCUAUGAAAUUUGCAAGCUAGGACAUCAAUUUUAAUUCAAAAUCUGCUGGAUAUUUAGUUUUUCUGAUGUUUGCAUUUCUGCCAAAAAGGACCUGAUAAGAUGUUGCAAAAUUCAGAGAUAGCUUUGUUGAGGGGUGAUGUCAUCAGGAAUCACAAAAAUGAUAGAGAUGGACAGCAUAAUACAUACAUAUAUACUUAUAACUUUGUCUCAGGCUGGAUCUCCCUAAAUGAGGUUUGGCUUGGAAUCACACAGGUUUAGAGAUCAUCCACAAAUCCUUCACAUUUCACUAGACAGAAUAUUUUGAACUUUAGGUAGAAACUAAAGUACAGAGCUAGGAGAAGGAGCAUAAUGUUCUCCUGAGUCCCUGAUCAAUGAAAGAUCUCUAAGGAGCAUGAAAAAGUCUGGUAAAGCAAGCAAGGGACAUUAGCAUGGAGGUCUGCAGGAUUUUACUGCUUUCAUUAACAUGA